UGGGGAAUUUUGGACAAUGGGCGAAAGCCUGAUCCAGCAAUGCCGCGUGUGUGAAGAAGGCCUUCGGGUUGUAAAGCACUUUUGUCCGGAAAGAAAUCCUUGGCUCUAAUACAGUCGGGGGAUGACGGUACCGGAAGAAUAAGCACCGGCUAACUACGUGCCAGCAGCCGCGGUAAUACGUAGGGUGCAAGCGUUAAUCGGAAUUACUGGGCGUAAAGCGUGCGCAGGCGGUUUGCUAAGACCGAUGUGAAAUCCCCGGGCUCAACCUGGGAACUGCAUUGGUGACUGGCAGGCUAGAGUAUGGCAGAGGGGGGUAGAAUUCCACGUGUAGCAGUGAAAUGCGUAGAGAUGUGGAGGAAUACCGAUGGCGAAGGCAGCCCCCUGGGCCAAUACUGACGCUCAUGCACGAAAAGCGUGGGGGAGCAAAACAGGAUUAGAUACCCCUGGUAGUCCCACGCCCCUAAAACGAUGUCAACUAGUUGUUGGGGAUUCAUUUCCUUAGUAACGUAGCUAACGCGUGAAGUUGACCGCCU
rnacentral:rRNA from 1 species